GACGAACGCUGGCGGCGUGCCUAAUACAUGCAAGUCGAACGCAGUGGGGACGGGUGAGUAACACGUGGGUAACCUCCCAUCAGAGGGGAUAACACUUGGAAACAGGUGCUAAACCGAUACUGAUGGAUGGACCCGCGGUGCAUUAGCUAGUUGGUGAGGUAACGGCUCACCAAGGCCCGGAUGCAUAGCCGCACUGAGAGGGGUAUCGGCCACACAGGGACUGAGACACGGCCCAGACUCCUACGGGGGGCAGCAGGCGGGAAUCGUCGGCAAUGGACGAAAGUCUGACCGAGCAACGCCGCGUGAGUGAAGAAGGUUUUCGGAACGUAAAACUCUGUUGUUAGAGAUACGGUAUCUAACCAGAAUGCCACGGCUAACUACGUGCCAGCAGCCGCGGUAAUAC
rnacentral:rRNA from 1 species